UUGCCCUACGGGCGCAGCAGUGAGGAAUAUUGGUCAAUGGGCGGGAGCCUGAACCAGCCAAGCCGCGUGAAGGAAGAAGGCGCCAGGCGUCGUAAACUUCUUUUGUCGGGGAACAAAGGGCGCCACGUGUGGCGUUGUGAGUGUACCCGAAGAAAAAGCAUCGGCUAACUCCGUGCCAGCAGCCGCGGUAAUACGGAGGAUGCGAGCGUUAUACGGAUUUAUUGGGUUUAAAGGGUGCGUAGGCGGUCCGGAAAGUCAGCGGUAAAAGCCCGGGGCUCAACCCCGGCGAGCCGUUGAAACUGUAG
rnacentral:rRNA from 1 species